rfam:Oryza brachyantha chromosome 3, whole genome shotgun sequence.
UGGCUGUGAUGACAAAAGAAAAACUUCGUUUCUCGAUGCUGAGACUUGAUUUGUUCAAGGACCAAAAAUCGUGCUGACCUUUGUGCGUGUCUGAGCCAC